GGAGUUGUAGCUCAGUUGGUUGAGUUCUUGCCUAGCAUGCAUGAAGCCCUGGGCUUGGUCCCCAGCACUACCA
rnacentral:tRNA from 1 species